rnacentral:rRNA from 1 species
CGGCGGACGGGUGAGUAAUGCCUAGGAAUCUGCCUGGUAGUGGGGGACAACGUUUCGAAAGGAACGCUAAUACCGCAUACGUCCUACGGGAGAAAGCAGGGGACCUUCGGGCCUUGCGCUAUCAGAUGAGCCUAGGUCGGAUUAGCUAGUUGGUGGGGUAAUGGCUCACCAAGGCGACGAUCCGUAACUGGUCUGAGAGGAUGAUCAGUCACACUGGAACUGAGACACGGUCCAGACUCCUACGGGAGGCAGCAGCC